CUUUAUGAGGUGCAACCAAAACAGCUGUUUGACAUAGCAACAGGGAUAUUCGGUCAAGGUGUCUCUCUGGCAUUUGUUCUUAAUACCGUUGUGGUUUUGAUCACUAAAAUGGCUGUGACUUUUGGACUCUCGUUGAGUGUUUCUUGGAUUUGCUGUCUGCUAAUUGGAGGGAUAACUUGUUUUACACUUAAAGGUAAUUCUAAUGGGCAUCAUGCCUACACUGGACCUGAACCAACUGGAUCCUAUGCCAAAGCAAGUGUGGUGCCUAGUCCAAAUGCUAAAGCUACUGGCCACAAUGCCACGUCAGCAGAAGCUACUGGCCACAAUGCCACGUCAGCAGAAGCUACUGGCCACAAUGCCACGUCAGCAGAAUCUACUGGCCACAAUGCCACGUCAGCAGAAUCUACUGGCCACAAUGCCCCGUCAAGUGUGAAGUCCGGCCCCGGCGCCUCAGCAGAAGCGUCAGGCCCCGGCGCCUCAGCAGAAGCGUCAGGCCCCGGCGCCUCAGCAGAAGCGUCAGGCCCCGGCGCCUCAGCAGAAGCGUCAGGCCCCGGCGCCUCAGCAGAAGCGUCAGGCCCCGGCGCCUCAGCAGAAGCGUCAGGCCCCGGCGCCUCAGCAGAAGCGUCAGGCCCCGGCGCCUCAGCAGAAGCGUCCGGCCCCGCGCCUCAGCAGAAGCCUCAGCAAUAGCGUCCGGCGCCUCAGCAAUAGCGUCCGGCGCCUCAGCGGAAGCGUCAAGCCUUGAACAGACCGCCCGACCACUCAACUAGGGAGAUCAUAAUUUGGUUUGCAUAACUCCUUAAUUGUCGUUCCCCUGUUACUGUGCCUCCCUUUAGAAGAAAAGGUAACUGAGGUGGAGAAAUGUGCCAACUAAUGCUCUUGUUUGAAAUGAGGAUCUCCUUCACUUGUCCAG
rnacentral:lncRNA from 1 species